CACGUAGUUAGCCGGCGCUUCUUCUGAAGGUACCGUCACUCCAAACCGCUAUUCACGACCGAAGCUUCGUCCCAACUGAAAGCGGUUUACAACCCUAAGGCCUUCUUCCCGCACGCGGCGUUGCUGCAUCACGCUUUCGCGCAUUGUGCAAGAUUCCCCACUGCUGCCUCCCGUAGGAGUCUGGGCCGUGUCUCAGUCCCAGUGUGGCUGAUCGUCCUCUCAGACCAGCUACGCAUCGUCGCCUUGGUAAGCCAUUACCCCACCAACAAGCUAAUGCGCCGCGGGCCCAUCCCGAUGCGGAGGCCGAAGCUUCCUUUCCCCAAGGGGCACAUCCGGUAUUAGCCCGUCUUUCGACGGGUUGUCCCAGUCAUCGGGGUAGGUCACCCACGUGUUACUCACCCGUUCGCGGCUCUGCCCCGGAGCAAGCUCCGGUUCGUCGCUCCACUUGCAUGUGUUAGGCACGCCGCCAGCGUUGUCCUGUAGCCAGGAGUCAAACGUACU
rnacentral:rRNA from 1 species